rnacentral:rRNA from 1 species
GUUGCUGUUAAAAAGCUCGUAGUUGGAUUUCGGAGUGGGCCAGUUGGUCCGCCGCAAGGUGUGUUACUGACUGGUUUGCUCAUCUUCGCAAAGACUGCGUGUGCUCUUCAGUGAGUGUGCGUAGGAUUUACGACGUUUACUUUGAAAAAAUUAGAGUGUUCAAAGCAGGCUAUUGCUUGAAUACAUGAGCAUGGAAUAAUGGAAUAGGACUUUGGUCCCAUUUUGUUGGUUUCUAGGGCCGAAGUAAUGAUUAAGAGGGACAAUUGGGGGCAUCCGUAUUUCGUUGUCAGAGGUGAAAUUCUUGGAUUUACGAAAGACGAACAACUGCGAAAGCACUUGCCAAGAGUGUUUUCAUUAAUCAAGAACGAAAGUUAGAGGAUCGAAGACGAUCAGAUACCGUCCUAGUUCUAACCAUAAACGAUGUCGACUAGGGAUCAGCGGGCGUUAUCGUACGACCCCGUUGGCACCUUACGGGAAACCAAAGUUUCUGGAUUCCGGGGGAAGUAUGGUUGCAAAGCUGAAACCUAAAGGAAUUGACGGAAGGGCACCACCAGGAGUGGAGCCUGUGGCUCAAUUUGACUCAACACGGGAAAACUUUCCAGGUCCAGACAUAGUAAGGAUUGACAGGUUGAGAGCCCUUUCUUGAUUCUAUGGGGUGG